CAUCUGGAGAGAGGCGCUGAUCGCGCCCACCGAAGGGGAGCUUCGCCAAGGAUGUACCAGGCGCGGGCGCAAACUCUCAGGUACAUGGACAGAUG
rnacentral:ncRNA from 2 species